CCUACGGGGGGCUGCAGUAGGGAAUAUUGCACAAUGGGGGAAACCCUGAUGCAGCAACGCCACGUGUGGGAAGACGCAUUUCGGUGUGUAAACCACUGUCGAUAGGGAAUAAUUAUGGAUUUCGGUCCAGUUGAAUGUACCUAUAAAGGAAGCACCGGCAAACUUCGUGCCAGCAGCCGCGGUAAUACGAGGGGUGCAAGCGUUGUUCGGAAUUACUGGGCGUAAAGGGAGCGUAGGCGGAUAAUCAAGUUGGCAGUUUAAUCCCGAGGCCCAACCUCGGACUUGCUGUCAAAACUGAUUAUCUUGAAUCAUUCAGAGGCAGAUGGAAUUUCAGGUGUAGCGGUGGAAUGCGUAGAUAUCUGAAAGAACACCAAUGGCGAAGGCAGUCUGCUGGGGAUGUAUUGACGCUGAGGCUCGAAAGCGUGGGUAGCAAACAGGAUUAGAUACCCCUGUAGUC
rnacentral:rRNA from 1 species